UUUUUAAAUCAUCUACUGUACUCUGACACUAAAUAUAUGUUUAAAUAUGAUUGACAAGAGGGUCAUAUAGCCUAAUGAUGAGAUUGUGGAAAGAUAGCAUUAGAAAAUAUAGGCAGUGCAAUACUGAAUCUAAUUAUUUCGUUGCAAAACCUAAUUAGGCAUUAAAAAAGGUUAACGCCAGCGCCUGAAACCGUUUUUGUUUAAUAAUCCCAUUACUGACGGCUCAUCGUGUAUAAAAUCGUGCAGGACACUAAGUUUCCACUUGUUUAAGUGAAUCUCUGAGAAAUGGUCGAGACAAAACACACCACAUUUGACAAGAUCUGAGAUGGGAAAGCAGGACAUCGUCACAUAUUUUAGUGUGGAAUCAAUUGAGGGGACUAUGUUUCAUGAAGCCGUUAGAAGACUGUUGCUGACUGAGAGGAGUCUGGCAGUAACCCAGAACUAUCAGAGGCAGAUAAUCUGUGUUUUGGCUGCUGCUGACAACAGCUGUAUAGUUUCCUGGAUGGGUGCUGCAGUGCAUUGGAGGCCUGUCUCCGCUGUGAUAGCAGCCCUGGAGCCCAGAUGAUUGAUGAAGGCGAGGGCAAGGCCGAGCGCUGGCAGCAUAAAGCCCCAUAGACGCCUCAAUAAAGCCUGGCUAGUGGAGGGCCUGGGCCCGCUCAAUAGCCACCGCCUACGAGGAUUCAGGCAAGCAAGCGAAGAGGGGAAGGUGCUCUGUUGUUCCAUAAUCCAUUUAGCCAUUGAGCCACCAGCCGUCUGAGGCUAGUUAAUAAGUGCAGCGACGAAUGUGUGUGUGUGUGUGUGUGUG